CAUGGAACACUUGCUGAGAAGAGCCACUCGUAAUUGAAAACCAAAGAAAUAUAGGCAUUACGGUGCUGCCAGUAGUUUAAUUUAAAGAGCGUCUUCAUCACGUGACUCUUCUGAAAUGGCCAAUGGGCAACAGCAGCAAGACUAAAGAUUCUAGGCACCAGCAUUUGACUCAUUUUAUUUACCUCCAAAUUAAGAGACAGAAAAUUAGCAUGUAAAAUUAAAUUCUGGUCAAUGAUUUUAGCUUCUAGCAAAAAGAUUUACACCCAAGUCACCUGACAAAUAUUACUUGUGGAACGGAGACAAUCUUCAAUAGACAUCAGCUUUUUGAACAAUGAAUACUGAGUCAACCCUGGAGGAAUAUCCUGACAAAUUGAUAAACACCUGGCUGAGAUGUUUUCCUACCUAAGACAAGAAAUCCUUGCUUGGUCCACCUCAGCUGUUUUUUGUUUGGGGUGUGCUUGUCGAAGAGAUAUUCUGCCGAGCCAGAUUCGGGCGCUCCCAUCUUGCGCAAGUUGGUCACGUGGUCACUCAAUUCUUUGAUGGCUUUCACCUGCUCAUUCAGCCCGCUCUCCCAGUCAUCACAGUCUGGUUUCUUGAUAUCCUGAAGGAAGAUUCGGCCACCUCGUUGGUUCUGCAGCUUCAUCAGUUUCUCAGCAUGUUCCCUCUCCUCAUGAGAUUGG
rnacentral:lncRNA from 1 species